rnacentral:misc_RNA from 1 species
GCAAACUUGGUCAUUUAGAGGAAGUAAAAGUCGUAACAAGGUUUCCGUAGGUGAACCUGCGGAAGGAUCAUUACCGAGUGAGGGUCCCUCCGGGGGCCCAGACCUCCCACCCGUGUCUACUUGACCCUGUUGCUUCGGCGGGCUCGCCCGCCGGAAGCCCCCCACACGAACCCUGUCUGAGAGAGAUGCUGUCUGAGUAUGAUUGAUACCAAUCAGUUAAAACUUUCAACAAUGGAUCUCUUGGUUCCGGCAUCGAUGAAGAACGCAGC